GCCUACGGCCAUAUCAGCCUGGGUACGCCCGAUCUCGUCUGAUCUCGGAAGCUAAGCAGGGUCGGGCCUGGUUAGUACUUGGAUGGGAGACCCCUGGGAAUACCAGGUGCUGUAAGCA
rnacentral:rRNA from 1 species